rnacentral:rRNA from 1 species
UCGAGCGGAAACGAUGGAGCUUGCUCCAGGCGUCGAGCGGCGGACGGGUGAGUAAUGCAUAGGAAUCUGCCCGAUAGUGGGGGAUAACCUGGGGAAACCCAGGCUAAUACCGCAUACGUCCUACGGGAGAAAGCAGGGGAUCUUCGGACCUUGCGCUAUCGGAUGAGCCUAUGUCGGAUUAGCUUGUUGGUGAGGUAAUGGCUCACCAAGGCGACGAUCCGUAGCUGGUCUGAGAGGAUGAUCAGCCACAUCGGGACUGAGACACGGCCCGAACUCCUACGGGAGGCAGCAGUGGGGAAUAUUGGACAAUGGGCGAAAGCCUGAUCCAGCCAUGCCGCGUGUGUGAAGAAGGCUUUCGGGUUGUAAAGCACUUUCAGUGAGGAAGAACGCCUCGGGGCCAAUACCCCCGAGGAAGGACAUCACUCACAGAAGAAGCACCGGCUAACUCCGUGCCAGCAGCCGCGGUAAUACGGAGGGUGCAAGCGUUAAUCGGAAUUACUGGGCGUAAAGCGCGCGUAGGUGGCUUGAUAAGCCGGUUGUGAAAGCCCCGGGCUCAACCUGGGAACGGCAUCCGGAACUGUCAGGCUAGAGUGCAGGAGAGGAAGGUAGAAUUCCCGGUGUAGCGGUGAAAUGCGUAGAGAUCGGGAGGAAUACCAGUGGCGAAGGCGGCCUUCUGGACUGACACUGACACUGAGGUGCGAAAGCGUGGGUAGCAAACAGGAUUAGAUACCC